rnacentral:rRNA from 1 species
GACGAACGCUGGCGGCGUGCCUAAUACAUGCAAGUCGAGCGGACCGGAUUGGGGCUUGCCUUGAUUCGGUCAGCGGCGGACGGGUGAGUAACACGUGGGCAACCUGCCCGCAAGACCGGGAUAACUCCGGGAAACCGGAGCUAAUACCGGAUAACACCGAAGACCGCAUGGUCUUCGGUUGAAAGGCGGCCUUUGGGCUGCCACUUGCGGAUGGGCCCGCGGCGCAUUAGCUAGUUGGUGAGGUAACGGCUCACCAAGGCGACGAUGCGUAGCCGGCCUGGGAGGGUGGCCGGCCACACUGGGACUGAGACCCGGCCCCGACUCCUACGGGGGGCAGCAGUAGGGGAUCUUCCGCAAUGGGCGAAAGCCUGACGGAGCGACGCCGCGUGAGCGAAGAAGGCCUUCGGGUCGUAAAGCUCUGUUGUGAGGGACGAAGGAGCGUCGUUCGAAGAGGGCGGCGCGGUGACGUUACCUCACGAGAAAGCCCCGGCUAACUACGUG